rnacentral:rRNA from 1 species
GACGAACGCUGGCGGCGUGCUUAACACAUGCAAGUCGAGCGGUAAGGCCCUUUCGGGGGUACACGAGCGGCGAACGGGUGAGUAACACGUGGGUGACCUGCCUUUAGCUCUGGGAUAAGCCUGGGAAACCGGGUCUAAUACCGGAUAUGACUCCGCGGCGCAUGUUGUGGGGUGGAAAGCCUUGUGCGGCUGGAGAUGGGCCCGCGGCCUAUCAGCUUGUUGGUGGGGUGAGGCCUACCAAGGCGACGACGGGUAGCCGGCCUGAGAGGGCGACCGGCCACACUGGGACUGAGACACGGCCCAGACUCCUACGGGAGGCAGCAGUGGGGAAUCUUGCGCAAUGGGCGAAAGCCUGACGCAGCGACGCCGCGUGAGGGAUGACGG